CCGACUUUUACGCACCCGGCGCCGGAAGGGACAUUCUGUCCCAAAAGUCACCAAAACAAUCACGCGGAACUCUCGUUCAUUAAGGGUAAUGAUUUUAAGCGCUCCUUCCAUCAAUUCCUUCAGCGUGUCGUGCGCCCGAGGCGGCCGCGGGGUCACCACGGAGGUCACCCGGGCUCCACGAUCGACCGCAUAUGCGCGGAGGUGAAAGGGCUUCGCGUGAUAAUCUCAGCAGCAGCGGCGAUAACGUUAAUUUUACCGAUCGACUCCCGACAUCGCGGGCGGGGGAAGUGCGCCCCCUUCCUCCCCAAAAAAGCCGGCGCGCAACGGAGGUGACCAGGCGCCCGCUACGCGUCGUUACGCGUCCCUUGUCUCCUGCUCCCGGGUCUGGAGACGUUCGCAGAGGAACAUGCCGUCAGAAGAACAUCCCAGGUGCUGCCUGUCGAUGCCAUUUUCACGGCGACAUUAACCGAGUCGUUUCCUUCACACCUCUGCAGCUGUCCAGUAAUUCUGCUGGUUAACGGGACUGCGGUGGCGCCAGCUGCUGAUUUCUAAAGGCGACCUUAGACCUACAAGAAAGAAGUCACAUCAGCGACCUGCAUAUUCCCUCCCAGACCACCGACUGACCCACCGUAUUCCUGCGAAUCCUCUGCCGUGGUCACUGUCGUGAGCCGCUCCGUCUCCAGCCCCCUCCUCUCCACUCGGAACGAGACAAAGCCAUCAGACAGAGAAGAGCCGCUUCUGAUUUCAUGCCGUUAUUGGCAGACUAAAAAGUGGGCUUGGGCUGGAUUCGUGGAAAUAGAGGGACCUCAGACUGGAGCUGUCAAUUAAGAUGGUGGACGGCUGCAGGGACGUGUAAUCGCAUCCCUGCUGCUAAAUUGAUUUUUUUUUUUAGCAAUGGUGGUCUCAGGCAAUACAUAUUCAGAUGUGUAGAAUGCAAUUACAUAAGAGAAUACUUUUAGAAUAUGUCUGGAGCAACUAAAAAAAUACUAUAUAUAGUAGCUUUCUAUUAUAUGUAUUACUUUCGUUUGCUUUUACCAAUUAAUUCAGAAAAUAUUAAGCAUUAAUAUAUACAGUUGUGUGCAAAGGUUUUGUGAACGACACAAAUUCUGGCUUUCAAAGUGUUUUCUGCUUCCAUUUUUAUUAUGGCAGGUUGCAUAUAAUCCAGAAUGUUAUGAAGAGCGAUCAGAUGAAUGGCAAAGUCUCUCUUUCCAUGAAAAUGAACUUAAUUCCAAAGAACAUUUCCACUGCAUUUCAGCCCUGCCACAAAAAUACCUGCAGAUAUCGUUUCAGCGAUCUUCUCGUUAACACAAGUGAGAGUUUUGAGGAGAACAAGGCUGACUGGAUGCUUUAAAAGGAGGGUGAUGCUUGAAAUCGUUGUUCUUCCUCUGAUAACCAUGGUUACAUGCAAGGAAACACGUUCAGUCAUCAUUGUGUUGCAUAAAAAGUUCUUCACAGGCGAGGAUGUUGCUGCUACUAAGAUUGCACCCAAAUCAACCAUUUAUCAGAUCAUCAAAAAGUUCAAGGAGAGAAGUUGAAGUGUCUGAAGUUUGAAGAAGGCGUCAGGGCGACCAAGAAAGUCCAGCAAGAGCCUGGACCUUCUUCUAAAGAUGAUUCAGCUGCGGGAUCGGAAUGCCAGCAGGCAGGUGUGAGGGCAUCUGCACGCACAGUGAGGUGGAGACUUUUGGAGGAUGGCCUGAUGUCCACUUCUCUCCAAGAAAAAUGCUUGUCUGGAGGAGAAAUGGUGAGCACCACCAUCAGUCUGGUCUCGUGCCAACAGUAAAGCAUCUGGAGACCAUUCAUGUGUGGGGCUGCUUCUCACUCACAAUUUUACCCAAGAACACGGCCAUGAGUAAAGCAUGGUACCGAAACAUCCUCCAACAGCAUCUUCUCCCAACCACCCAAGAAGAGUCUGGUGAAGAACGAUGCCUUUUCCAGCAUGAUAUGCCAUAACAAUUUUCUGACAGUUUGUGCAGAAGUGUUUUGGUUAUGCAAACCAAUUGUUGCUGCAGCUGUACGGGUUGCUGUUGUCAGACGAUCAUGGAGGUGAACACGAAAGUGAAGUCAUUGUGAAACACUGCAGCACAGUACACGGUGGCACAAUGAAAAGUGUCUGCUGCUUUUAGCCAUCACCCUUGGUGAGCGGUGGGCAGCCAUGACAGGCGCCCGGGGAGCAGUGUGUGGGGACGGUGCUUUGCUCAGUGGCAUUUUGGUGGAUUGAUGCUUCGGGUCCACUUCCUUACCCACUAGGACACCACUGAACAUGCUGGAUGUGGAGGUCCUGGGCUGGUGUGGUUACACAUUUACAUUUACAGCAUUUACCAGACGCCCUUAUCCAGAGUGACUUACAAUCAGUAGUUACAGGGACAGUCCCCACCUGAAGCAACUCAGGGUUAAGUGUCUUGCUCAAGGACACGAUGGUAGUAAGUGGGAUUUGAACCCGGGUCUUCUGGUUCACAGGCGAGUGUGUUACCCACUUGGCUACUACCACCCCAAGAUUUACAUUUACAGCAUUUACCAGACGCCCUUAUCCAGAGCGACUUACAAUCAGUAGUUACAGGGACAGUCCCCACCUGGGUUCACAGGUGAGUGUGCUAUCCACUAGGCGGUUGUGAGGCCGGUUGGAUGUACUGCCAAAUUCUUUGUUACGCCUUUGGAGAGGGCUUAUGGUAGAGAAAUGAACAUUCACUUCAUGGGCAACAGCUCCGGUAGACGUUCUAGCAGUCAGAAUGACAACUGCUUUGUUUGUUUUUUUUUCUGCUAUGAUGUUCAGAACACAUUAGCAGCCUGAUGCAACAGUGCUUUGAAUGUUUUAUGUUGUGUUGCAGGCAUACAAUAUCAUCCUGAAACUGUGUGCAGCAUUUCAAAUGAUCCAUACGAUAGAUUUAACUGUCCAAAUGGGCAAAAAUGUUGUUUUUGAUAUUCAAAACAUAUAUAAAAUAUGUGUACAUGUGUUAUUAAUACAUGCAGUCAGGAAAAAAGUUGGAAAUAAAAAGUUCUUUUACAAAAAGUUUAUUACA
ensembl:lncRNA